rnacentral:tRNA from 3 species
GGAGAGGCAACGACCCUGGUGGGUCGGCCGGGCUUCAAACCCGGUGGGCGGCGCCACGCGUUGCCGGAUGGGUUCGACUCCCGUGCCUCUCCGCCA